rnacentral:rRNA from 1 species
GUGGGGAAUCUUCCGCAAUGGACGAAAGUCUGACGGAGCAACGCCGCGUGAGUGAAGAAGGUUUUCGGAUCGUAAAGCUCUUUCGUUAGGGACGAACGUGCUCUUUGUGAAUAAUGAGGAGUAAUGACGGUACCUAAAUAAGAAGCCACGGCUAACUACGUGCCAGCAGCCGCGGUAAUACGUAGGUGGCAAGCGUUGUCCGGAAUUAUUGGGCGUAAAGCGCGCGCAGGCGGGAUAUCAAGUCUGUCUUAAAAGUGCGAGGCUCAACCUCGUGAGGGGACAGAAACUGGGAUUCUUGAGUGUCGGAGAGGAAAGUGGAAUUCCAAGUGUAGCGGUGAAAUGCGUAGAGAUUUGGAAGAACACCAGUGGCGAAGGCGACUUUCUGGACGAUGUCUGACGCUGAGGCGCGAAAGCUAGGGGAGCGAACGGGAUUAGAUACCCGAGUAGUCC